rnacentral:rRNA from 1 species
UGCCAGACUCCUACGGGAGGCAGCAGUGGGGGAUAUUGCACAAUGGGGGGAACCCUGAUGCAGCGACGCCGCGUGGGUGAAGGAGUAUUUCGGUAUGUAAAGCCCUAUCGGCAGGGAAGAAGCAAGACGGUACCUGACUAAGAAGCCCCGACUAACUACGUGCCAGCAGCCGCGGUAAUACGUAGGGGGCGAGCGUUAUCCGGAUUCACUGGGUGUAAAGGGAGCGUAGACGGCCAAGCAAGCCAGGGGUGAAAGCCCGGGGCCCAACCCCGGGACUGCUCUUGGAACUGCGUGGCUAGAGUGCAGGAGGGGCAGGCGGAAUUCCUGGUGUAGCGGUGAAAUGCGUAGAUAUCAGGAGGAACACCGGCGGCGAAGGCGGCCUGCUGGACCGUGACUGACGUUGAGGCUCGAGAGCGUGGGGAGCAAACAGGAUUAGAUACCCCCGUAA